UACGAAGGGGGCUAGCGUUGCUCGGAAUCACUGGGCGUAAAGGGUGCGUAGGCGGGUCUUUAAGUCAGGGGUGAAAUCCUGGAGCUCAACUCCAGAACUGCCUUUGAUACUGAAGAUCUUGAGUUCGGGAGAGGUGAGUGGAACUGCGAGUGUAGAGGUGAAAUUCGUAGAUAUUCGCAAGAACACCAGUGGCGAAGGCGGCCUUCUGGACGGUGACUGACGCUGAGGCGCGAAAGCGUGGGGAGCAAACGGGG
rnacentral:rRNA from 1 species